CCUUAGAAAACAGAAGGGGGGUGGGGUGGGGGACGCGUAAAUUAACACACGCCGACGCGAUGCUUCCGUUUUAUUCGUCUUACGGAAAGCCGAGAAGAUAGAAACGGCUGAAACGAGAUUCCCGGUUUCUUUUUUCUCGCAGCCGUUGUUGUCUGUCUGCCUUUCUUUUUCAUCGUGCGCUUUUCACGAUCGGUUCUCGAGUAUUCGUGUACGCCGUUUCGCUUUACGCGGAAUGUGCAUUCUUACGAAAAACGAUCGGUGUUUCAUCAGAAGCUUCAUCUUCGUUGCUUCCCCUUGGGACCUGUUGUUGCAUUUCAAAUGUUCUAUCUCUUUCAAUCUCUCCAUGCUCGGCCGAAGCACCGACGGUCACAGUAACUGUCCCCCCCACUCCGCUCCGUCCAGAGCCACAUGGCACCGGGCGACAGGAGUGGGGUGGACAAGUAUUCUAACCAUCGGGAUAUACAAGGUGUUUCCGAAAUUGCGGUGGAGACGAGGAGUGGAUGAUUUUUCACGAGAAAAGAAGUGUAAGAAAACACACGGUCGGCUUUGGAUAUCGCGUGGAUUUAUGACAAAAAUUAGUUUUAACCCGCUCAGAUUAUUAAGAGAAGAAAUAAAUAUCGACGUAGCAAGAUUAUUCGUUAUAUAUACUUUUUACACACUUAUUUGUACGCACUUUUAACUUUCAAAAUCGAUUAUAAUUGUUAAUAGACCAAAUUGCAAAACCGCUUUGCGAAUUUCCACUCCGAUCUUAAUCUAUUCAAUUUAAUCGUCGAAGACAGAUAAUGUUUCAAUCUUUUCGCAAGAAAGAAAAAUAUAAGCAAUUUGAAGAAACGUGAAUUUGCUUGGAACCGAUACGUUGCAACUAAAUAAAACAGUUUCGAAAAUCUA